CUGCUUCCCCCCCCUCCCCCCCACUUUUCUCCCGGGCCGACGGAGCUGAAGGGGCGGGGGUUCCUUCCUUGGAGCGUUUCUAGAGCUCGGAGGCUGCUGGUAGGGGGGCACCACUUUCAGAUAAAAACAUAGACCUGAAUGGCAUCAUCCAGUAUCCAAGGAAACCAUUGUGUCUGUAACCAGCUAAUGAGCUGCAACAGAGCCUGGCCUUCAUUUUCAGCAAAUUAAGUUCAUCCCUCAUAGGAAUUGUGGUCUGGCUGUGGCACCGCUCCUAGACAUGACAAACUCCAAAAGGAAACCCAAGCAGCUAUUUGGCUCCCUUAAUUAAUGAAGUCGCCCAGUAUGGAUAAUUCAGGUUCUCUAAACAUGAGUAUGCCUUUGGGGGAA
rnacentral:antisense_RNA from 1 species